GGAGAAGUGGCAGAGUGGUCGAAUGUACCUGACUCGAAAUCAGGCGUACGCGCAAGCGUACCGAGGGUUCGAAUCCCUCCUUCUCCGCCA
rnacentral:tRNA from 1 species